GGCCCCCCUGAGAGUUUGAUCUUGGCUCAGGAUGAACGCUAGCGGGAGGCCUAACACAUGCAAGCCGAGCGGUAGAGAUCUUUCGGGAUCUUGAGAGCGGCGUACGGGUGCGGAACACGUGUGCAACCUGCCUUUAUCUGGGGGAUAGCCUUUCGAAAGGAAGAUUAAUACCCCAUAAUAUAUUGAGUGGCAUCACUUAAUAUUGAAAACUCCGGUGGAUAGAGAUGGGCACGCGCAAGAUUAGAUAGUUGGUGAGGUAACGGCUCACCAAGUCAACGAUCUUUAGGGGGCCUGAGAGGGUGAUCCCCCACACUGGUACUGAGACACGGACCAGACUCCUACGGGAGGCAGCAGUGAGGAAUAUUGGACAAUGGGUGAGAGCCUGAUCCAGCCAUCCCGCGUGAAGGACGACGGCCCUAUGGGUUGUAAACUUCUUUUGUAUAGGGAUAAACCUACCCUCGUGAGGGUAGCUGAAGGUACUAUACGAAUAAGCACCGGCUAACUCCGUGCCAGCAGCCGCGGUAAUACGGAGGGUGCAAGCGUUAUCCGGAUUUAUUGGGUUUAAAGGGUCCGUAGGCGGAUUUGUAAGUCAGUGGUGAAAUCUCACAGCUUAACUGUGAAACUGCCAUUGAUACUGCAAGUCUUGAGUGUUGUUGAAGUAGCUGGAAUAAGUAGUGUAGCGGUGAAAUGCAUAGAUAUUACUUAGAACACCAAUUGCGAAGGCAGGUUACUAAGCAACAACUGACGCUGAUGGACGAAAGCGUGGGGAGCGAACAGGAUUAGAUACCCUGGUAGUCCACGCCGUAAACGAUGCUAACUCGUUUUUGGUAUUUCGGUAUCAGAGACUAAGCGAAAGUGAUAAGUUAGCCACCUGGGGAGUACGAACGCAAGUUUGAAACUCAAAGGAAUUGACGGGGGCCCGCACAAGCGGUGGAUUAUGUGGUUUAAUUCGAUGAUACGCGAGGAACCUUACCAAGGCUUAAAUGGGAAAUGACAGGCUUAGAAAUAGGCUAUUCGUCGGACAGUUUUCAAGGUGCUGCAUGGUUGUCGUCAGCUCGUGCCGUGAGGUGUUAGGUUAAGUCCUGCAACGAGCGCAACCCCUGUCACUAGUUGCCAUCAUUAAGUUGGGGACUCUAGUGAGACUGCCUACGCAAGUAGAGAGGAAGGUGGGGAUGACGUCAAAUCAUCACGGCCCUUACGCCUUGGGCCACACACGUAAUACAAUGGCCGGUACAGAGGGCAGCUACACUGCGAAGUGAUGCAAAUCUCGAAAGCCGGUCUCAGUUCGGAUUGGAGUCUGCAACUCGACUCUAUGAAGCUGGAAUCGCUAGUAAUCGCGCAUCA
rnacentral:rRNA from 1 species